rnacentral:rRNA from 1 species
UACGUAGGUGGCAAGCGUUGUCCGGAUUUACUGGGCGUAAAGAGCGCGCAGGCGGUCGAGUAAGUCGAAUGUGAAAGCCCCCGGCUUAACUGGGGAGGGUCAUUCGAUACUGUUCGACUUGAAGGCAGGAGAGGGCAGCAGAAUUCCCGGUGUAGUGGUGAAAUGCGUAGAUAUCGGGAGGAAUACCAGUGGCGAAGGCGGCUGCCUGGCCUGUUCUUGACGCUGAGGCGCGAAAGCUAGGGGAGCAAACGGGGAUUAAGAU